rnacentral:rRNA from 1 species
GACGAACGCUGGCGGCGUGCUUAACACAUGCAAGUCGAACGAUGAACCCGGAGCUUGCUCCGGUGGAUUAGUGGCGAACGGGUGAGUAACACGUGAGUAACCUGCCCUUGACUCUGGGAUCACCCCAAGAAAUUGGGGCUAAUACCGGAUAUGUCCGCCGACCGCAUGGUCCGGUGGUGGAAAGGGUUUCCGGCCGGGGAUGGGCCCGCGGCCUAUCAGCUUGUUGGUGGGGUAGUGGCCUACCAAGGCGACGACGGGUAGCCGGCCUGAGAGGGUGACCGGCCACACUGGGACGGAGACACGGCCCAGACUCCUACGGGAGGCAGCAGUGGGGAAUAUUGCACAAUGGGCGCAAGCCUGAUGCAGCAACGCCGCGUGAGGGACGACGGCCUUCGGGUUGUAAACCUCUUUUAGCAGGGAAGAAGCGAAAGUGACGGUACCUGCAGAAAAAGCACCGGCUAACUACGUGCCAGCAGCCGCGGUAA